CACUUUCAGCAAUGGAUCACUUGGCUCUCGCAUCGAUGAAGAACGCAGCGAAAUGCGAUAAGUAAUGUGAAUUGCAGAAUUCAGUGAAUCAUCGAAUCUUUGAACGCACCUUGCGCUCCUUGGUAUUCCGAGGAGCAUGCCUGUUUGAGUGUCAUUAAUAUAUCAACCUUCACUUGUUGAUUGGUUUGGAUGUGGGGGGUUUUGCCUGGCCUCUUAAAAGGUUUUGGCUCCCCUGAAAUGCAUUAGCAGAACAACCCUGUUCAUUGGUGUGAUAAACUAUCUACGCUAUUGAAUGUGAAGGGCAGUUUGGCUUUCCAACAGUCCUCGGACAAACUCAUCAUUAAUGUGACCUCAAAUCAGGUAGGACUACCCGCUGAACUUAAGCAUAUCAAUAAGCGGAGGCU
rnacentral:misc_RNA from 1 species